ACUUUGGUGGUUCAUUGGUAGAAUUCCCACCUUCCAUGUGGAAAAUCCAAGUUCAGUUCCUGGCUAACGCG
rnacentral:tRNA from 1 species